rnacentral:lncRNA from 1 species
CGGAUUACAUUGCACGUGCUGAGGUCAUGAUGACAAUAUACAAGAUCUGAAAAAGAUCCUUCACGUUUUUCUCUUUCAUCUGGGGAAAAAUAAUAGAGAAGCAGUGUACAUAGAGGUUCCAACUGGAAUCCAUCAAAAACAGAAACGGGCACGAGGUGGAGUAGCUAUCUUUUCAUCAAUCGGCCAGGGACAACCACAUAUACGAGCCCAACAUGCUACGAUUAAACUUACAGUAUCCAUCCCCUAAAAGAACUGGGCUGACAAUUCCAAACAAGGACGGGAUACGUGCAAAAUAAGAGAAGCAUAUGAUCAGACUUCCACAUGGUUUCGGCCACGUCCAAACAGCCAGCGCAACCUAUAUAAAGAGGUCCAACCUGCCGCAUAAGCACACAGAAAAGAAAUAGAAGUCAGCCAAACCAUGACUUGAAGACUCCACAAGAAAAUCGAAGUCCCAUGACCUAAUGCAUGACUCAGGACGUGCCAUGGAGAUUAAAGUUGAUUGCUUCACUCAACGUAUGGCGAAGUCAUGCCCAAGCACGCUCGACGCUUCACGAAUCAUGAAGCGAUGCCCAAUUGCUUCGUUCGACAUCCGAUGAAAUCACGCGUAAGCACUUCUGACCUGAAUCAUCAAGUUUGGUAAUUGUUAUUUACAAAUCUUCAUAGGUACUCUAUCAAUUGAUACUACGACGUACAAUAAGUUCAACACCAUAAUGAUAAGAUACGAAACUGGAACAUUCUACUAAAAGUAAUGAGAUGUGGGAUUUAGUCAAUCCUACAACAGAUGAGCUAAUUAGUCUAAGCUUAUUAGUCCUGAUAUUAUAUUGAUGGAUGAGCAUGUCUGUUCUUUAUAUUAUUAAUUUCAAAUUGGUCAAACAAUUUAAGCAAUGGUUACUAAGUAUAUCUGAAAAAAAAUUACAAUUUACGCAUUCGACAACUUUAAGGUCACGGAAUCCACAAAGUAUCGACCAGUGAGCGGUGAAAUUCAAAUAUUUUUUGAAUAUAUACAAAGGUAAAGGAGAAAAAAGAUCUCCAGAAGUUUUUUUCAGAUUAUUAUUUCGAGUUUGCUACCAAGGGCACACUACAAGAAUGGGAAGAAAAAAUAUACAAUGCUCAGGUAUGUUUAUAGUUGUAAUUACGACUUUGAAAUAAACAGUCGUUCUAAUUUAUAUAUUACUAAUCUACAAGUUUGCAUGUGUCAUUGUUUUACUAACACAAACGAAGACUGUGGAAACAAGAAUAACAAAAAAGACCCACAUCCUUCAUAUAUCCGCAAGAUUGAAAUUCUACUACCAGAGUAAGUGUAUAUGCAUAUGCAUGUCUCAAAUUGAACUAAACCUCCUUUGGCAACCAAACUGUCCUUAUUGUGACCUCAAGAAUGGCGCGUAAAUUCAAUGAUAAGUCAAUAAUCUUACAUAGAGGGAUACAUUCUUGAUUAAAUAGGUUUGCGGCUAAAGUCCAAUAAUGCCACAAGAAUAUAUGCAGAUCUGGAUAUACCUGAAACAGAUGAAGUAUGAAACACUACCAUCUAAUAUUUUUGACUCAUGAAUAGUGAUUCACGUUUAAUUCAGUAUUGCAUAACAAUUUUUCUCACCUUUGGCACGCAAAACUAUGCAAUAAAAAGAACAUUUGUGCCUAAUGUUGGGAUUGAGAUGCUCUACUUGAAUGACAAAGUAGAGGAGGUAAAGGCGCAUUUAAUUCUUUUCCUAAACUAAUACACCUUACAUAUAUUGCACAUGAAUUGAUGGAUGAUGAAGUAGACACCGUGUUAACGAAGAAGCAAAACAUGGCCAAUAAAAAGGUGAUUGAUUUUUUCCCCAUGCAUAUUUACAGAUUCUAGAAAUGUGUCAAAUUUUUUUUUAAAAAAUAUUUCUUUUGUGGUCACAAAAUAAUAGUCUCACCUUGCAAAUUGCCAUGCAAAUCAGUCCCUAUGAAAGAGGAACAACAUGACAGUAAUGGGACUACAAUAAACAAAGAUGAGCAUCAAGACAAAAUAUAAUCAUCAUCACGUGAGCUCCACAAUGACAAAAUGAGACUGGGAUCUGUUGUAAUAUCAGAUGACUCAUAGGAUGAAUGCACUUAGACGAGUUUGGCAGAGCGAAAAGAAAAGGGUGUCUGCUGAAACAAGAAUUUUUUUAAAAGUAAAAGCCAAAAAUACAAGUCUUGAAGAUGAAGCUGAAGUACAGGAAGUGCCUUUGGGGAACAAGGAAGGUUUCUUGAAAAUUUACCUUGCUGAAUAGCAGAACCAUAUAUAAGCAAAUCAACGGCCUCUCUGGUGUUCCACACAUACCACUAGCUUUGGUAGUGCCCCAUUCUGACCAAAAAUAGUGUUACCACUUUUAGACUUACGGAAAAAAUAAAUCCACUAAGUAAUCGCAUUAAGAUUAUUUCACGACUACUUGAUCAGGUGGCUAGAAGUUAUUUGAGAAAACUCAACAUGCAAAAUCCUGCUCAACAACCCUAUUUGCGAAUUGAUAAAAUACCAUCCAAGUUGACAUAUUAUCUGACAAGGUAAUCUGAUUACCAAACUAAUGCAGAAUAAUCCAUCAAAUUAAUUUUGCCAUAAGGUUACUUAAAAAAAUCGAGAAUGUUACAAGCCUAUCCAUAGCAGUCUGUAUUGUAUAAAUUAGAAAAAUAUAGUCAUACAUGCACUUCUGUCAGUUUAUUGUUCUUGGUAAUAAAAAACAUCAAUCUCAUAAGGCCUUUUCAUUAAAAAAAUCAUGAAGCCUUAUUUUUAAAGAAAAGGCAUCAUGAAUAAAAUAUUUCUUGCUAACAGCAAAUGCAAAAUACUACGGAGUGCAACACUGCUACGGAUAAACUAGAAGAGAUAUUUUUUGCUAGAAAGGAUGCAUAUCUUCAAUCGGCACUUACAUUUGGUAGAAAUCUGACAGCACCAACAAUAAGAGGCCACGAUCUCAUGGUCGUCCGCAGAAGCCGCUCACACCUUGCUGCUAUUUAUCAAUCCCACGAUCUACUUACACUCAUCUGCCUUCAGUGCCCCCAUACGAACAGCAACAAGCCCAAACUCUGUUCCGCACCUCACAUCCAACAGUCCACCAUCAGCCCGUGACUCCAUCAGUUCACUCACAGCCUCCUCCAUGGGGUGGUCGAGGAUUCACACCACAGAGGACGCGUCGAGCGUGUCUACGCACUCCAUGCGCACGGCCAACUGAGCCAAUAGAUCGACGAAGUGAAAUCAGAAGAAAUGAAUCUACGAGUACGACCGGGAUAGCUUGGGAAUUAGUCUGAUGAUGGCAAGCGGCGACAUCUUCAUCCGCUGGCCGCUAAUCGGAAGAUGUGGCGCAUGCGGAUGGAUAAGGAUCCUGGCAGUGGUGGGGAUCGACUGAGAUGAGAGGAGUGCUUUUUUUCUUAUACGUAGAUGUCUAGAUUUUUUUUGAGGGGAACGUAGAUUUUCUUUUGAGGGGAACGUAGAUGUCUAGAUGAAGGCCUGUACGGUUGUUC